rnacentral:lncRNA from 1 species
UAUCAACAUGCUCAUUAGGUAGAGUUUGUUGAAUUAUUUUAUAUUUUUUUGAGUAUUGUUUUAGUCUCCUGGGUACACUUCUGUCCAGGACUAUUCACAAGGCAGGGCUGCUGCAUACAGUGAGACCAUCCAUAGCUUUCAGACUAAAUAUAAAACAACAUUUGUAACCUUCCUGCCUCCUGUUGUCUUCAAAAUGGGCCUUGGAGACCAUCAUGAAUCCAGGGCAGGAAUCCAUUUGGUCUAAUUGAUCUAUGAGUCACUGAACUUCACAUAGACACUGAAAAUACAGAAAACGGAUAUAGAACUCCGUUAACAGAUAAAUUGGGCAAGUAAUAAUGUAGCGCUGUUUUUUCUUUUCUUAUCAUUUAUUCCUGCUGAGUUUCUUG